rnacentral:ncRNA from 2 species
UCCCCGCACUCUGGAGAGCGGCAGUAGCCCGCUGCGCACAUGCUGCGCGGGCAGGCUGCCCACCGAAGGGGCGCGCGUUUGCCGGCUUGGUCCGCAGCGCAAUCUCUCAGGUAUCGAGGACAGAGGGGCAUGU